rnacentral:rRNA from 1 species
UACGAAGGGGGCUAGCGUUGUUCGGAUUUACUGGGCGUAAAGCGCACGUAGGCGGAUCGUUAAGUCAGGGGUGAAAUCCUGGAGCUCAACUCCAGAACUGCCUUUGAUACUGGCGAUCUCGAGUCCGGAAGAGGUGAGUGGAACUCCUAGUGUAGAGGUGGAAUUCGUAGAUAUUAGGAAGAACACCAGUGGCGAAGGCGGCUCACUGGUCCGGAACUGACGCUGAGGUGCGAAAGCGUGGGGAGCAAACAGGGAU